rnacentral:rRNA from 1 species
AGAGUUUGAUCAUGGCUCAGAACGAACGCUGGCGGCGUGGAUUAGGCAUGCAAGUCGAACGCGAAAGAGGGGGCAACCCCUCGAGUAGAGUGGCGAACGGGUGAGUAACGCGUGAAGAACCUGCCUUCGAGAGGGGGAUAACACUCCCAACGGGGUGCUAAUACCGCAUGAGACCACGGAGCUGCAUGGCUCUGUGCUCAAAGGUGGCCUCUAUUUAUAAGCUACCGCUCGAAGAUGGCUUCGCGUCCCAUUAGCUUGUUGGCGGUGUAAAAGACCACCAAGGCGACGAUGGGUAGCUGGUCUGAGAGGAUGGUCAGCCACACUGGGACUGAGAUACGGCCCAGACUCCUACGGGAGGCAGCAGUCGAGAGGCUUCGGCAAUGGGGGAAACCCUGACCGAGCGACGCCGCGUGGGGGAUGAAGGCCCUUGGGUUGUAAACCCCUUUUAUUCGGGAAGAAAUGCGAUCAGGUGAAUAAUCUGGUCGUUUGACGGUACCGAAUGAAUAAGCUCCGGCUAACUCCGUGCCAGCAGCCGCGGUA